GCCCGUUGGUCAAGUGGUUAAGACACCGCCCUUUCACGGCGGUAACACGGGUUAAAAACAAGAGCCUUCCAAGCUCUGGUCGAGAGUUCGAUUCUCUUCACCCGCU
rnacentral:tRNA from 1 species